rnacentral:rRNA from 1 species
AUACGUAGGGUGCGAGCGUUGUCCGGAAUUACUGGGCGUAAAGAGCUCGUAGGUGGUUUGUCGCGUCGUCUGUGAAAUUCCGGGGCUUAACUCCGGGCGUGCAGGCGAUACGGGCAUAACUUGAGUACUGUAGGGGAGACUGGAAUUCCUGGUGUAGCGGUGAAAUGCGCAGAUAUCAGGAGGAACACCGGUGGCGAAGGCGGGUCUCUGGGCAGUAACGGACGUGGAGGAGCGAAAGCAUGGGUAGCGAACAGGAUUAGAUACCCUGGUAGUCCAGGCCGUAAACGGUGGGCGCUAGGUGUAGGGGUCUUCCACGACUUCUGUGCCGUAGCUAACGCAUUAAGCGCCCCGCCUGGGGAGUACGGCCGCAAGGCUAAAACUCAAAUGAAUUUGCGGGG